GGUCUCACUAUGCAGUCCAGGCUGGCCUUGAGCUCACUUUGUAGCCCAGGCUGGUCUCGAACUCACAACAAUCCUCCUGCCUCAGCCUCCCGAGUGCUGGGAUGACAGGCGUGAGCCACCAUAGCCCG
rnacentral:miRNA from 1 species